UACGUAGGGGGCAAGCGUUGUCCGGAUUUAUUGGGCGUAAAGAGCGUGUAGGCGGCCAUGUAGGUCCGUUGUGAAAACUCGAGGCUCAACCUCGAGACGCCGAUGGAAACCAUGUGGCUAGAGUCCGGAAGAGGAGAGUGGAAUUCCUGGUGUAGCGGUGAAAUGCGCAGAUAUCAGGAAGAACACCGGUGGCGAAGGCGGGUCUCUGGGCCGUAACUGACGCUGAGGAGCGAAAGCGUGGGGAGCGAACAGG
rnacentral:rRNA from 1 species